rnacentral:siRNA from 1 species
GAUCCUAUCCGUGAACGGGGUGCG